rnacentral:rRNA from 1 species
AAUCAACGCUGGCGGCGUGCCUAAUACAUGCAAGUCGAACGCGAAAGUCCCGCAAGGGAUGAGUAGAGUGGCAAACGGGUGAGUAACGCGUGGGUGACCUGCCUUCGAGUGGGGGAUAACGUUUCGAAAGGAACGCUAAUACCGCAUGACAUCCUGUCUUUUAACAGGCGGAGAUCAAAGCUGGGGAUCGCAAGACCUGGCGCUUGAAGAGGGGCCCGCGUCCGAUUAGCAGUUGGUGGGGUAAUGGCUCACCAAGGCAUCGAUCGGUAGCCGGCCUGAGAGGGCGGACGGCCACACUGGGACUGAGACACGGCCCAGACUCCUACGGGAGGCAGCAGUAGGGAAUUGUUCGCAAUGGGCGCAAGCCUGACGACGCAACGCCGCGUGGAGGAUGAAGACC